rnacentral:rRNA from 1 species
AUUGAACGCUGGCGGCAGGCCUAACACAUGCAAGUCGAGCGAGCGGCGGACGGGUGAGUAAUGUAUGGGGAACUGCCUGAUGGCGGGGGAUAACUACUGGAAACGGUAGCUAAUACCGCAUACCAUCAGUUGUGCCCAUAUGGGAUUAGCUAGUAGGUGGGGUAACGGCUUACCUAGGCGACGAUCCCUAGCUGGUCUGGGAGGAUGAUCGGCCACACUGUGACUGAGACACUGCCCAGACUCCUACGAGAGGCAGGAGUGGGGAAUAUUGUACAGUGGGCGCAAGCCUGAUGCAGCCAUGCCGCGUGUAUGAAGAAGGCCUUCGGGUUGUAAAGUACUUUCAGUCGGGAGGCGUUACCGACAGAAGAAGCACGGGCGAACACCGUGCCAGCAGCCGCGGUAAUAC